AAUGAACGCUGGCGGCGUGCUUAACACAUGCAAGUCGAACGGAAUCCAAGGAGCUUGCUCUGGAAGAUUUAGUGGCGAACGGGUGAGUAUCACGUGAGCAACCUGCCCCGAAGACUGGGAUAACACCGGGAAACCGGUGCUAAUACCGGAUGUCUUCUUUUUAUCGCAUGAUGAGGAGAGGAAAUGUUUUUUCGCUUCGGGAGGGGCUCGCGGUCCGUCAGCUUGUUGGCGGGGUAACGGCCCACCAAGGCUACGACGGAUAGCUGGUCUGAGAGGACGAUCAGCCACACUGGAACUGAGACACGGGUCCAGACUCCUACGGGAGGCAGCAGUGGGGAAUCUUGCGCAAUGGGCGAAAGCCUGACGCAGCAACGCCGCGUGAGGGACGAAGGCUUUCUGAGUUGUAAACCUCUUUCGACAGGAACGAUUGUGACGGUACCUGUAGAAGAAGCACCGGCCAACUAUGUGCCAGCCGCCGCAGUAAG
rnacentral:rRNA from 1 species